rnacentral:misc_RNA from 1 species
AACGCACAUUGCGCCCGCUAGUAUUCUGGCGGGCAUGCCUGUUCGAGCGUCAUUUCAACCAUCAAGCCCCUGUGCUUGUGUUGGAGCCCUGCGGCUGCCGCAGGCUCCCAAACCCAGUGGCGGGCUCGUCGUCGUACCGAGUGCAGUAAAUUUACCACGCUCAGGGCACGUGAUGGGUGACCGGCCGUAAAACCCCCCCUUCUCAAGGUUGACCUCGGAUCAGGUAGGAAUACCCGCUGAACUUAA